UGGGGAAUCUUGCGCAAUGGGCGAAAGCCUGACGCAGCGACGCCGCGUGGGGGAUGAAGGCCUUCGGGUUGUAAACCCCUUUCGGCAGGGACGAAGCGAAAGUGACGGUACCUGCAGAAGAAGCUCCGGCUAACUACGUGCCAGCAGCCGCGGUAAGACGUAGGGAGCGAGCGUUGUCCGGAUUCAUUGGGCGUAAAGCGCGCGUAGGCGGCCUCGCAAGUCGGUUGUGAAAUCCCGGGGCUCAACCCCGGGACUGCGUCCGAUACUGCGAGGCUGGAGGUAGGUAGGGGAGAUCGGAAUUCCUGGUGUGGCGGUGAAAUGCGCAGAUAUCAGGAGGAACACCGGUGGCGAAGGCGGAUCUCUGGGCCUUACCUGACGCUGAGGCGCGAAAGCUAGGGGAGCGAACAGG
rnacentral:rRNA from 1 species